rnacentral:rRNA from 1 species
UACGUAGGGGGCAAGCGUUGUCCGGAUUUAUUGGGCGUAAAGAGCGUGUAGGCGGCUAGAUAGGUCCGUUGUGAAAACUCGAGGCUCAACCUCGAGACGUCGAUGGAAACCAUCUGGCUAGAGUCCGGAAGAGGAGAGUGGAAUUCCUGGUGUAGCGGUGAAAUGCGCAGAUAUCAGGAAGAACACCAAUAGCGAAGGCGGCUACCUGGCCCAUUCUUGACGCUGAGGCGCGAAAGCUAGGGGAGCAAACGGG